rnacentral:misc_RNA from 1 species
GAUGAAGAACGCAGCGAAAUGCGAUAAGUAAUGUGAAUUGCAGAACUCAGUGAAUCAUCGAAUCUUUGAACGCACAUUGCGCCCCCUGGUAUUCCGGGGGGCAUGCCUGUCCGAGCGUCAUUACAACCCUCAAGCUCAGCUUGGUGUUGGGCCCCGCCGCCCCGGCGGGCCCUAAAGUCAGUGGCGGUGCCGUCCGGCUCCGAGCGUAGUAAUUCUUCUCGCUCUGGAGGUCCGGUCGUGUGCUUGCCAGCAACCCCCAAUUUUUUUCAGGUUGACCUCGGAUCAGGUAGGGAUACCCGCUGAACUUAAGCAUAUCAAUAAGCGGAGGA